CAUGCCGUAAACGUUGGGAACUAGGUGUGGGGUCCAUUCCACGGGUCCUGUGCCGUAGCUAACGCAUUAAGUUCCCCGCCUGGGGAGUACGGCCGCAAGGCUAAAACUCAAAGGAAUUGA
rnacentral:rRNA from 1 species